rnacentral:rRNA from 1 species
GACGUAGGAGGCGAGCGUUGUCCGGAUUCAUUGGGCGUAAAGAGCACGCAGGCGGUUUGGCAAGUCGGAUGUGAAGACCCGGAGCUCAACUCCGGACCUGCAUCCGAAACUGCCCGACUAGAGGUAGGUAGGGGAGAUCGGAAUUCCUGGUGUAGCGGUGAAAUGCGCAGAUAUCAGGAGGAACACCGGUGGCGAAGGCGGAUCUCUGGGCCUUACCUGACGCUCAGGUGCGAAAGCUAGGGGAGCGAACAGG